AUUGAACGCUGGCGGCAGGCCUAACACAUGCAAGUCGAGCGGAGCGGCGGAAGGGUGAGUGAUGCCUAGGAAUUUGCCUGGUAGUGGGGGAUAACGUCCGGAAAUGGGCGCUAAUACCGCAUACUAUCACUUGAGUCUAGGUCGGAUGAGCUAGGUGGUGGGGUAAAGGCCUACCAAGGCGACGAUCCGUAUCUGGGCUGAGAGGGGGAUCAGUCACACUGGAACUGAGACACGGUCCAGACUCCUACGGGAGGCAGCAGUGGGGAAUCUUGGACAAUGGGCGAAAGCCUGAUCCAGCCAUGCCGCGUGUGUGAAGAAGGUCUUCGGAUUGUAAAGCACUUUAAGUUGGGAGGCGUUACCAACAGAAUAAGCACCGGCUAACUUCGUGCCAGCAGCCGCGGUAAUAC
rnacentral:rRNA from 1 species